rnacentral:rRNA from 1 species
AGAUUGAACGCUGGCGGCAGGCCUAACACAUGCAAGUCGAGCGGCAGCACGGGUACUUGUACCUGGUGGCGAGCGGCGGACGGGUGAGUAAUGCCUAGGAAUCUGCCUGGUAGUGGGGGAUAACGCUCGGAAACGGACGCUAAUACCGCAUACGUCCUACGGGAGAAAGCAGGGGACCUUCGGGCCUUGCGCUAUCAGAUGAGCCUAGGUCGGAUUAGCUAGUUGGUGAGGUAAUGGCUCACCAAGGCGACGAUCCGUAACUGGUCUGAGAGGAUGAUCAGUCACACUGGAACUGAGACACGGUCCAGACUCCUACGGGAGCAGCAGUGGGAAUAUUGGACAAGUGGGACGAAAGCCUGAUCCAGCCAUGCCGCGUGUGUGAAGAAGGUCUCGGAUUGUAAAGCACGUUAAGUGGAGAAGGCAGUUACCUAAUACGUAUCUGUUUGACGUUACACAGAAUAAGCACCGCUAACUC